rnacentral:rRNA from 1 species
GCUAGUUCCGCCCAAGAGUCCAUAUCGACGGCGGAGUUCGGCACCUCGAUGUCGGCUCAUCUUAUCCUGGGGCUGGAGAAGGUCCCAAGGGUUGGGCUGUUCGCCCAUUAAAAAGGUACGUGAGCUGGGUUCAGACCGUCGUGAGACAGGUUGGUCUCCUAUCUACUGCAGGCGUUGAUUCUUGAGGGGGGGUUCUCCCUAGUACGAGAGGACCGGGAGGAGGUGACCUCUGGUGUACAAGCUGCCGCGCCCGCGGCAUCGCUUGGUAGCUAAGUCACUGAGUGAUAAGCGCUGAAAGCAUCUAAGCGCGAAGCAUGCCCCAAGAUUAGGAAUCGCAAAGACCCGUGGGAGAUUACCACGUUGAUAGGCUUUAGGUGUAAGCGCCGCAAGGCGUUCAGCCGAGAAGUACUAAUCAGUCAAUUCCCGCUCCGAU